rnacentral:lncRNA from 12 species
GGGGGGGGGGGGGGGGGGGGGGGGGGGGGGGGGGGGGGGGGGGGGGGGGGGGGGGGGGGGGGGGGGGGGGGGGGGGGGGGGGGGGGGGGGGGGCGGGCCGGGACCCCCCCGGGACAAACAAACAGCGACAACCCGGAACAACCCGGGACAAACAGUGACAGCCCAGAAUAGCCCGGGACAAACCCGCUGCUCCGCGCUCCCGUGCCACGGGCCUCGCCCGGGAUACCUGCAGGGACCCGUGCUGAGUCUGGUGGCUGGGAACCGGGCCCAGCUCUCUGCCUGUCUCCUGACACCCUGGGCCCAGGAUUUUCCCUCAUCUCCCUAUUCAUCUUGGUCAAUUCCCUCCCCUCUCCCCUUCCUUUCCCUUCCCCUCCCAGAUCACAGUGAGCUGGAGGAGCUCUGGGACAGAGCAGGGAGAUUCCUCCCUUCCCAGGCAGGCAGGUGAGGUGGAAGUGUCACUUGGAAAGGUGCUGGGAGUUGUGACCAGCCUCUCAGUGCCCUGUUUGUUGACUGUAUUCCUAGUGCUGGAACACGAUGGGAAUGUUAGCAAAGUUCCUGGAAUCUUCAUGGAGAGAGCUGUAAAGGACAGCAUCCCUCACAGAGCAACUGAUCUGCAAUUACAGCUAAUUAACCUUUAUUUAUUCCCUAAUUUAUGGUAUAACACAAGUUUUUGCAGGUAAAAUAAAGAUGCUUUUUUAAUGAAUCAUGAUGUUCUCUGUUUGGUUCUUGUAGAUACCAGACAAAGCACUUUGUCUGAAAAUGGAAUGUUACUUCAUUCCCAAGCUGGAGGAUGAGUAAAAGUCAUGUCAUGGUUGGGAAGAGAUCCCACCCACUUCCCAAUUCCUUGCCCUCGAGGUCUGGUUGCUUUUGGAGGUGCUGUUGCUCAAUCCUGAUCCUUCCACCCGACAGAAAAGCAGGAACUGCCUGAAACAGAGAGAUCUGUCUGGUUUUGGCAGAGGGUGAUACAGGGAAAGGGGUAGAACUGUCUUCUCCCACUUACUUCUGGAAAAAAGCCACUUCUGAAGGACCUGGAACAAGAAGAGAAAAUUUCCAGCUGAUGUAAAGUAAUGGUGGUGUCACUUUCUCUUCCUAUUCCAUGGCCUGUGUGCCAAGGUGCUUCUCACACUGGAUGUGGCUGUAAAAACACAGAUUCUCCGUCCCCUUCCUCCUUCUUUUCCAAUCCCUGCAAUUCCCAGCUGUGUUCCCAUCCUUGUCACUGUAGGCCUGUGAAGUGGCUGUGUGACAGUUUAGGUUGAAUUAAGUUUAGAAAGUGCUCCUUUCUCUGGAC